rnacentral:rRNA from 1 species
AUUGAACGCUGGCGGAAUGCUUUACACAUGCAAGUCGAACGGCAGCACGGACUUCGGUCUGGUGGCGAGUGGCGAACGGGUGAGUAAUGUAUCGGAACGUGCCCAGUCGUGGGGGAUAACGUAGUGAAAAUUACGCUAAUACCGCAUACGAUCUAUGGAUGAAAGCGGGGGAUCGCAAGACCUCGCGCGAUUGGAGCGGCCGAUAUCAGAUUAGGUAGUUGGUAGGGUAAAGGCCUACCAAGCCAACGAUCUGUAGCUGGUCUGAGAGGACGACCAGCCACACUGGAACUGAGACACGGUCCAGACUCCUACGGGAGGCAGCAGUGGGGAAUUUUGGACAAUGGGCGAAAGCCUGAUCCAGCCAUUCCGCGUGCAGGAUGAAGGCCCUCGGGUUGUAAACUGCUUUUGUACAGAACGAAAAGGUUUCUACUAAUACUAGGAGCUCAUGACGGUACUGUAAGAAUAAGC